CGCCAUAUUCUGCUUUCUGUCCAUGUGGCUCGAAAAACAUCCCCAGGUUUUAGUGACUCUCCAGACCUGGCCAUUGUGAAGAGGUGGUUGGAUUAUGUGAGGCUUGGUGUGCCUUCCUCAGAUGUCACUGAUCCAAGCAAAGGAACUCCUAUCAGUGCUAGAGGCACAUGAGUCCAAAAGGGGAUUUUGGGCUCUUCAGGGCAACAACUCCAGAAACCCCAAUGCUGGAUGCCUCAGGCAUGGCAGAGACCCUGCAUCUAGGACCAGCUUCUGUGGUGGGGCCACAGGGAGAUAUGAAGCUCCGAAAGGACACUGAGCUCAUGGACCCAGCAGUUAGGGAACCAACUGUGCCAGAAGAUGGACCAGUGCAGCUUCUGACUUUAGAUCAGCCUCUGCCCGCAUCAGCUGAUACACAGUCACCUCUAGAUGUGGCUGCAGAUGUUCCAGCUGCCAGGCAGGUAUUUCUACCUGCUGUUGUGCAAUUAGGUGCACCGGAGCCCAUUUCCCCUCUUCCUGAGGUUGACAUAUAAUUAGGUAGUAGAACCUGCUGAGUUCCACCCUGCUCCAGUU